rnacentral:rRNA from 1 species
UACGUAGGGGGCAAGCGUUGUCCGGAUUUAUUGGGCGUAAAGAGCGUGUAGGCGGUUAGGUAGGUCCGUUGUGAAAACUCGAGGCUCAACCUCGAGACGCCGAUGGAAACCAUCUGACUAGAGUCCGGAAGAGGAGAGUGGAAUUCCUGGUGUAGCGGUGAAAUGCACAGAUAUCAGGAAGAACACCCGUGGCUAAGGCGGCUCUCUAGUACGUGACUGACGCUGAGACGCGAAAGCGUGGGGAGCGAACAGG